UCGGGGAUCGUCUAAUGGUAGGACAACGGACUCUGAAUCCGUUAAUCGAGGUUCAAAUCCUUGUCCCCGAG
rnacentral:tRNA from 1 species